UCGAGAAUCUUCCGCAAUGGACGAAAGUCUGACGGAGCGAUACAGCGUGGUGGAUGAAGUGCUUCGGUACGUAAACACCUUUUAUGUGGGACGAAAUUAUUGACGGUACCACAUGAAUAAGGGGCUCCUAACUCUGUGCCAGCAGGAGCGGUAAUACAGAGGCCCCAAGCAUUAUCCGGAAUCAUUGGGCGUAAAGGGUGUCUAGGCGGUUAUAUUAGUCUUCCGUAAAAUCCAGGAGCUCAACUUCUGGCCCGCGGGAGAAACGGUAUGACUAGAGGUAGGGAGAGGUGCGUGGAACUCACGGUGUAGGGGUGAAAUCCGUUGAUAUCGUGGGGAACACCAAAGGCGAAGGCAGCGCACUGGCCCUAAUCUGACGCUCAAGCACGAAAGCCAGGGUAGC
rnacentral:rRNA from 1 species